rnacentral:rRNA from 1 species
GAGUUUGAUCAUGGCUCAGGAUGAACGCUGGCGGCGUGCUUAACACAUGCAAGUCGAACGAACCUUCGGGUUAGUGGCGGACGGGUGAGUAACGCGUGGGAAUCUGCCCUCAGGAGGGGGAUAACGGCUGGAAACGGCCGCUAAUACCCCAUAUGCCGAGAGGUGAAAUGAAUUUCGCCUGAGGAUGAGCCCGCGUCUGAUUAGCUUGUUGGUGAGGUAAUGGCUCACCAAGGCUUCGAUCAGUAGCUGGUCUGAGAGGAUGAUCAGCCACACUGGGACUGAGACACGGCCCAGACUCCUACGGGAGGCAGCAGUGGGGAAUUUUCCGCAAUGGGCGAAAGCCUGACGGAGCAACGCCGCGUGAGGGAUGAAGGCCUCUGGGCUGUAAACCUCUUUUCUCAAGGAAGAAGAUCUGACGGUACUUGAGGAAUAAGCCACGGCUAAUUCCGUGCCAGCAGCCGCGGUAAUACGGGAGUGGCAAGCGUUAUCCGGAAUUAUUGGGCGUAAAGCGUCCGCAGGCGGCCCUUCAAGUCUGCUGUUAAAACGUGGAGCUUAACUCCAUCAUGGCAGUGGAAACUGUUGGGCUUGAGUGUGGUAGGGGCAGAGGGAAUUCCCGGUGUAGCGGUGAAAUGCGUAGAUAUCGGGAAGAACACCAGUGGCGAAGGCGCUCUGCUGGGCCAUCACUGACGCUCAUGGACGAAAGCCAGGGGAGCGAAAGGGAUUAGAUACCCCUGUAGUCCUGGCCGUAAACGAUGAACACUAGGUGUCGGGGGAAUCGACCCCCUCGGUGUCGUAGCCAACGCGUUAAGUGUUCCGCCUGGGGAGUACGCACGCAAGUGUGAAACUCAAAGGAAUUGACGGGGGCCCGCACAUGCGGUGGAGUAUGUGGUUUAAUUCGAUGCAACGCGAAGAACCUUACCAGGGUUUGACAUCCUGCGAACCUCUUGGAAACAGGAGGGUGCCUUCGGGAACGCAGUGACAGGUGGUGCAUGGCUGUCGUCAGCUCGUGUCGUGAGAUGUUGGGUUAAGUCCCGCAACGAGCGCAACCCACGUCUUUAGUUGCCAGCAUUUAGUUGGGCACUCUAGAGAGACCGCCGGUGAUAAACCGGAGGAAGGUGUGGAUGACGUCAAGUCAUCAUGCCCCUUACAUCCUGGGCUACACACGUACUACAAUGCUACGGACAGAGGGCAGCAAGUUCGCGAGGACAAGCAAAUCCCAUAAACCGUGGCUCAGUUCAGAUCGUAGGCUGCAACUCGCCUACGUGAAGGAGGAAUCGCUAGUAAUCGCAGGUCAGCAUACUGCGGUGAAUACGU